rfam:Camelus ferus unplaced genomic scaffold scaffold252, whole genome shotgun sequence.
GUGGAUAUAGCUCAGUGGUAGAGCACAUGCUUAGCAUACACAAGGUCCUGGGUUCAAUACCCAGUACUCCAUG